rnacentral:pre_miRNA from 1 species
GAUGUACUCCUUCCGUUCUAAAUUACUCGUCGCAGAAAUGGAUGUAUCUAGAAUUAAAAUACAUCUAGAUACAUCCAUACCUGCAACAAGUAAUUCAGAACGGAGGGAGUAAUAA